rnacentral:lncRNA from 1 species
UGUAUGCAGACUGAAGAGGAUUAUUAAAAACACAGGAGUAUGUUUCAACUAACUUAUGCAAAAACAAGUUUAAAAAAAAAAAACACAUGCCCACUUUUUAGACGUAGAUUUGUUGGUGAAAGGAAACUCCUUCUCAACAAAAGUUUAUAGAAAAUCCACCAGAGCGACAAUAAUCAUCCCGAGUUGGUCCAACAACAAGUGGAUCCAUAAAAAAGCAGCAUUAAGGUCCCUCAUAGAAAGAGUCGCAACGCACUGCAAUACUGCAGAAGCCUUUGAGGAAGAAAUGACAAACGUAGUACAAAUAGCAAAAAACCAUGGCUGCAAACCAUACUUAGUUAAAAAGUUAUAGAAAAAAAUUAAAACUAAGAGAACUAUGAAAGAAACCUGUAAAGAGACUCGUCAGACAAUGAGAGUGCAGGAAAGAAUACAAGAGCCACCAAUGAGUUAUGAACCAGUUCCAGACACCCUAAGAGACCUGAAAGCAGUAAAAAAGAUCAUAAAUAAAGAAGAGAAAAAACCAGCCUGUAAGAGGCCCUCAACAAUCUUUGAUCUACUGAGGAAUCCAAAAGACCCCAGAAGAAAAGAAGAAAAAGCGCCAUAUAUGAGAUUCUGCUAACAAACUUAGACACAGGCAAGCAGGAAGUAUACGUAGGAAUGACUUAUAGAAACUUCAAAGACAGAAUGGAGGAACAUAAAAGAAACAUUAGGACAGGCAAUCUAACCACAGCGCUGGCAGCAAAAGCUUAUCAAAACAACAUUAGUGUAAACUGAAAUGAAGCCAAGGUAAUGAAACAAACAACAAACAGGAUAGGAUUAGCAGUAGCGGAAAAUAUACAGAUCACAAGAAGCAGAAAGACAAAAGAAAUGAUAAAUGAUAGAGAGGUUGAAGAACCCCCUAAGCCUUGGAAGUAUUUGCUUAAGAGAUAAAGAAAUACCAAACUUGAGUAGUCUAAGCUAGUGCAGU